CGAAAAGGAAGAGGAUUAUUCGGUUAUGGUUGCUGUGAAUAAAGAAAUACUGUGAAUUGACACUUUCGAAUGAAAAUAACAACGGGCUGUUAUUCAGACGAUGAUGAAAAAAUUUGGGUAGAUCCGCAAUACAUUAAGGGCGAUCUCUAAAACGAUCGGAGGCAAAUACAUCUACUGGGAGGUCGAAAAGUCGUGGACGAUUAAGGAAAUGCGGUGUAUCUAUGAAAAUGCACAAGAUGGCGGAUCGCCAUUGUCGAAGCGAUGGCGUAGUUGGCUUACCUUGACCGGUAGACAGGCGGCGAUCUUGAGAAAUAUUUGCCGUACGUCUCCCUCACCUUCGAAAAUUGGUACCGAAACACGAUCCUUCACGAGACAUAAUCGACACAGGUCCAGAUAGUCGAGGGAGGACAUUUUACCGUGUAAAACGCCA